rnacentral:rRNA from 1 species
GACGAACGCUGGCGGCGUGCCUAAUACAUGCAAGUCGAGCGGACUGGAGAGAGCUUGCUCUUGAAAGUCAGCGGCGGACGGGUGAGUAACACGUGGGUAACCUGCCUGGUAGACUGGGAUAACGCUUGGAAACGAGUGCUAAUACCGGAUAAUCUCCUGAAUCGCAUGGUUCAAGAGUAAAAGGAGCUUUCGCUUCACUGCCAGAUGGACCCGCGGCGCAUUAGCUAGUUGGUGAGGUAACGGCUCACCAAGGCGACGAUGCGUAGCCGACCUGAGAGGGUGACCGGCCACACUGGGACUGAGACACGGCCCAG